rnacentral:lncRNA from 1 species
GGGUGUCAGAUCGGAAAAUCGGAAGCGGGGAUCGUCAUCAGCGCGUCGUUGUGAGUCCGAUGGUGUGUUCGGAUCGUCGAUCGGACUCCGGCGGCGGGAGGCGAGUCGACCGAGCGAUCGAGCGUCUCGAUUGUCAGUUCGUUCGGCUCGCUCCUACCGAGGCACCGGAGCAGAGCUAGAAGGUCGCCAAACCUGUGAGUUAAAGUCACUUAAUCGUUGCACUAUUGCUAAGUCUGAAUUUAAUAUGUUAUUUUAAAAGUUUAUGCAUAAUAUGGUUAUUAGUAUCGUAACAUAAAUAAUUUCACUGGAUUAUUGAAGAUAAUAUAAAUAUUAUUAUUAGUAAUGUUAUAAUAAUAUCAAAUAUUAUCAGUUUUCCACAUGAGUUGCAUGAUGUCUUACUUUAAAAUUGUUAAUCGUUAUUUUGAUAUAGUUGAAUGACUUCUUUAGACAAUAAUAUUUAUUAAAUGUGGUGAUUGCGAUUUGGGAAAUGUGGCUUGUAGAACAUGCCGCCUGAUGGGUUACAUAAGGACCACGUGCACACUGGUAAUGAUCAUGGACAUGUAAUAAGAUAUUUAUGGGUUUGCCCUAGUCGAGCAUGGCUCUCUGGGCUGAUUUGAGUAAAUUGCCGGAGGUAAGGUCCCUGGUCGAGCAUUGCUCUCUGGGCGCCGGCUUAUUUGGAAUUCAAGUGAUCAGAUUGGAGGUAAGGUCCCUGGUCGAGCAUUGCUCUCUGGGCGCCAGUCUUAUUGGAUUAAGAGAGCCAAAAUGGCUGUUAGAAUUUGGGGUUAGGGUUCUACUGAGCCACUCGUCCCGUAAAAGUAAAAAUAUAUUUUUAUUUAUUCAUUUUUUAAUUUAUUGUGGUAUGAUUAUAAUAUGGAUUGUAUUUACGUGCAUGGUUGAUAUUUUGAUUCGAAUGAUUAAUAUUUUAUGUGGAGGAAAUAGUAGGGUAUGAUUAUAGUAUGGUUUGAUAUACUGAUUUGAAUAAUCUAUGUUUUCUGAGAAGAAGCAAUAGUCCCUAGAUUAUUUGAUUUUAACUCACUCUCGAGACUGACAGUCUCAUUUUUACUGUUUUUCAGAUUCGUGACUGUUAGUUCUCCUGCGACUCUUAUUCAGUAACCCGACUCCUUCAUCAUCGGGUGAUGUAUUUGAUUUGGUAUGUAAAUUGGUAAAUCUUAGAUUCUCCGCAGUAGUAAUAGUA